rnacentral:rRNA from 1 species
CCUACGGGAGGCAGCAGUAGGGAAUCUUCCACAAUGGGCGCAAGCCUGAUGGAGCAACGCCGCGUGGGUGAAGAAGGUCUUCGGAUCGUAAAACCCUGUUGUUAGAGAAGAAUGUGCGUGAGUGCAACUGUUCACGUUUCCACCUUAUCUCACCAGAAAGCCCCGGCUAACUACGUGCCAGCAGCCGCGGUAAUACGUAGGUGGCAAGCGUUAUCCGGAUUCAUUGGGCGUAAAGGGUACGCAGGCGGUCUGUUAAGUCAGAUGUGAAAGCCUUCGGCUUAAACGGAGUAGUGCAUUGGAAACUGGGAGACUUGAGUGCAGAAGAGGAGAGUGGAAGUCCAAGUGUAGCGGUGAAAUGCGUAGAUAUAUGGAAGAACACCAGUGGCGAAAGCGGCUCUCUGGUCUGUAACUGACGCUGAGGUUCGAAAGCGUGGGUAGCAAACAGGAUUAGAUACCCCUGUAGUC